UACGAAGGGGGCUAGCGUUGUUCGGAAUUACUGGGCGUAAAGGGCGCGUAGGCGGCUGUGCAAGUCAGGUGUGAAGCCCUGGCUCACCAGGAUGUGCACUUGAUACUGCACGGCUAGAGUGUCGGAGAGGAUGGUGGAAUUCCCAGUGUAGAGGUGAAAUUCGUAGAUAUUGGGGAAGAACACCGGUGGCGAAGGCGACCAUCUGGCCCGUUAUUGACGCUGAGG
rnacentral:rRNA from 1 species